GUAGGUGGCAAGCGUUGUCCGGAAUUAAUGGGCGUAAAGCGCGCGCAGGCGGUUCUUUAAGUCUGAUGUGAAAGCCCACGGCUCAACCGUGGAGGGUCAUUGGAAACUGGAGAACUUGAGUACAGAAGAGGAAAGCGGAAUUCCACGUGUAGCGGUGAAAUGCGUAGAGAUGUGGAGGAACACCAGUGGCGAAGGCGGCUUUCUGGUCUGUAACUGACGCUGAGGCGCGAAAGCGUGGGGAGCAAACAGGGAUUAGAUACCCUGGUAGUCCACGCCGUAAACGAUGAGUGCUAAGUGUUAGGGGGGUUUCCGCCCCCUUAGUGCUGCAGCUAACGCAUUAAGCACUCCGCCUGGGGAGUACGGCCGCAAGGCUG
rnacentral:rRNA from 1 species